AGAGUUUGAUCAUGGCUCAGGAUGAACGCUGGCGGCGUGCUUAACACAUGCAAGUCGAACGGAGCUAUGACAUGGAGUCUUCGGAUGAAGUGCUGUAGCUUAGUGGCGGACGGGUGAGUAACACGUGAGCAACUACCUUUUGCAGGGGAAUAACUCUGGGAAACCAGAGCUAAUACCGCAUACCGUGCGCUUGGGGCAUCCCAGGUGCAUGAAAGGAGCAAUCCGGCAGAAGAUGGGCUCGCGUCCGAUUAGGUAGUUGGAGAGGUAACGGCUCCCCAAGCCGACGAUCGGUAGCCGGACUGAGAGGUCGAUCGGCCACAUUGGGACUGAGACACGGCCCAGACUCCUACGGGAGGCAGCAGUGGGGAAUAUUGGGCAAUGGGCGGAAGCCUGACCCAGCGACGCCGCGUGAAGGAGGAAGGCUUUCGAGUUGUAAACUUCUUUGGGGAGGGACGAAGAUGACGGUACCUCCAGAACAAGCCACGGCUAACUACGUGCCAGCAGCCGCGGUAAUACGUAGGUGGCGAGCGUUAUCCGGAUUUACUGGGUGUAAAGGGCGCGCAGGCGGCCCUGGAAGUCAGAUGUGAAAGAUCAAGGCUUAACUUUGACAGGUCAUCUGAAACUUUGGGGCUUGAGUAUCAGAGGGGAAAGUGGAAUUCCUAGUGGAGCGGUAAAAUGCACAGAGAUUAGGAGGAACACCGGUGGCGAAGGCGACUUUCUGGCUGACAACUGACGCUGAGGCGCGAAAGCGUGGGGAGCAAACAGGAUUAGAUACCCUGGUAGUCCACGCCGUAAACGAUGAUUACUGGGUGUAGGGAGUAUCGACUCUCUCUGUGCCGAAGCAAACGCGAUAAGUAAUCCACCUGGGGAGUACGGCCGCAAGGCUAAAACUCAAAGGAAUUGACGG
rnacentral:rRNA from 1 species